rnacentral:rRNA from 1 species
CCUACGGGAGGCAGCAGUGGGGAAUUUUGCGCAAUGCUCGUAAGAGUGACGCAGCGACGCCGCGUGAAUGACGAAGGCCUUCGGGUCGUAAAGUUCUUUCGACAGGGAAGAAAAUGCAUAUAAGUAACUGUGUAUGUAUUGACGGUACCUGUAUAAGCAGCCCCGGCUAACUCCGUGCCAGCAGCCGCGGUAAUACGGAGGGGGCGAGCGUGGUUCGGAGGGACUGGGCGUAAAGAGCACGUAGGUGGUAUUGUAAGUAAUUAGCUAAAGAAUAGAGCUGAACGUUAGUAAGGCGAGUGAUACUAUAAUACUAGAGUAUCAGAGAGGAUUGCAGAAUUCCUGGUGUAGCGG